UUUCCGUAGGUGAACCUGCGGAAGGAUCAUUACGAAAUCGCUGGCGCCCCCGCGGUGUCCAGCCCCGAGAAAUCGGGAUACCCUGUCUUCUUGAGCACCACUCGUUUCCUCGGCGGGCCCGCCCGCCAGCGAGGACAACCGAAAACCCUUGCAAUCAGCAGUCGUCAGUACGAAAUCAAAUCAUUACAACUUUCAACAAUGGAUCUCUUGGCUCUGGCAUCGAUGAAGAACGCAGC
rnacentral:misc_RNA from 1 species